ensembl:snoRNA small nucleolar RNA SNORA76
GCACUGCCUUUGAACCGGUGCAUGGCCCAUUCAUUGCUUCAUUGGCUACGGCUACAGUGCAAAAGUAAAGGACUUGCUUAUAACUGGUGCUGCUCAGCUGAAACUUGAGUGAUUCUUUUAAGGGUAAGUUACAUUU